UACGUAGGGGGCAAGCGUUGUCCGGAUUUAUUGGGCGUAAAGAGCGUGUAGGCGGCUUUACAGGUCCGCUGUGAAAACUCGAGGCUCAACCUCGAGCUGUCGGUGGAAACCGUAAGGCUAGAGUCCGGAAGAGGAGAGUGGAAUUCCCGGUGUAGCGGUGAAAUGCGCAGAUAUCGGGAAGAACACCCGUGGCGAAGGCGGCUCUCUGGGACGGUAC
rnacentral:rRNA from 1 species